UACGUAGGGUGCAAGCGUUGUCCGGAAUUAUUGGGCGUAAAGAGCUCGUAGGCGGUCUGUCACGUCGGCUGUGAAAACCCGAGGCUCAACCUCGGGCCUGCAGUCGAUACGGGCAAACUAGAGUACUGCAGGGGAGACUGGAAUUCCUGGUGUAGCGGUGAAAUGCGCAGAUAUCAGGAGGAACACCGGUGGCGAAGGCGGGUCUCUGGGCAGUAACUGACGCUGGAGGAGCGAAAGCCGUGGGGAGCGAACAGGA
rnacentral:rRNA from 1 species